rnacentral:rRNA from 1 species
CGGAGGCAGCAGUGAGGAAUCUUGCGCAAUGGUCUAACGACUGACGCAGCGACGCCGCGUGUGGGAGGACGCCUUUCGGGGUGUAAACCACUGUUGCCCGGGACGAACUGCUCGAUUCGUCGAGCUUGACGGUACCGGGUGAGGAAGCACCGGCUAACUCCGUGCCAGCAGCCGCGGUAAUACGGAGGGUGCGAGCGUUGUCCGGAAUCAUUGGGCGUAAAGGGCGCGUAGGUGGCCCGGUCAGUCUUUGGUGAAAGCGCGGGGCUCAACCCUGCGUCGGCCAGGGAUACUGCCGCGGCUCGAGCACUGUAGAGGCAGGCGGAAUUCCGGGUGUAGCGGUGGAAUGCGUAGAGAUCCGGAAGAACACCGGUGGCGAAGGCGGCCUGCUGGGCAGUUUAGCUGACACUGAGGCGCGACAGCGUGGGGAGCAAACAGGAUUAGAUACCCCUGGUAGUCAU